UACGGAGGGUGCAAGCGUUAAUCGGAAUUACUGGGCGUAAAGCGCACGUAGGUGGUUUGUUAAGUCAGCUGUGAAAUCCCCGGGCUCAACCUGGGCACUGCAGUUGAAACUAGCAAGCUAGAGUAGGGUAGAGGGGUGUGGAAUUCCAGGUGUAGCGGUGAAAUGCGUAGAUAUCCGGAGGAACACCAGUGGCGAAAGCGGCCACCUGGACUGUACCUGACGCU
rnacentral:rRNA from 1 species